rnacentral:rRNA from 1 species
AUUGAACGCUGGCGGCAGGCCUAACACAUGCAAGUCGAACGAGUGGCGGACGGGUGAGUAAUGUCUGGGAAACUGCCUGAUGGAGGGGGAUAACUACUGGAAACGGUAGCUAAUACCGCAUACCAUCGGAUGUGCCAAGAUGGGAUUCGCUAGUAGGGGGGGUAAAGGCUCACCUAGGAGACGAUCCCUAGCUGGUCUGAGAGGAUGACCAGCAACACUUGAAUGGAGACACGGUCCAGACUCGUAAGGGAGUCAGCAGUGGGGAAUAUGGCACAAUGGGCGCAAGCCUGAGGCAGCCAUGCCGCGUGUAUGAAGAAGGCCUUCGGUUUGUAAAGUACUUUCAGCGGGGAGGCGUUACCCGCAGAAGAAGCACCGGCUAACUCCGUGCCAGCAGCCGCGGUAAUAC